rnacentral:lncRNA from 1 species
AAAUAAUUCUUAUUGCAACUAUGUAAUUUAAUCAUUUGUCAAAAGUAAGAGAGAGAAAUACCAGUUUCAUGAUAUAGAGAAGCCCGUAUCAAUUACAAAGCAAUCUGUAACAGAAGACCACAGUGAAUAUCCACAGGUAAGCUGGGAACAACUACUAAGGAAAUAUCUGACAUGACAUAACCCACAGGUAAAUUGACAGAUAAUAAAACCUUAACUUCUGUGUUGCAGGAUUUUCCUUGUCCAAUUACACUAGGGCAGCAGGAGGCCUGUGAUUGGACAGGGGAAAGGGAGGCGGAGCUAAGCGGUGCAGGAACAGAGAGCAUUUCAGAAGGGACAGGAGGAAGGCAAAAUGGAGGCAGAUGCAAACCAGCCAGCCACAGCAGGUGUCACCAGCUUCUGUCCAUUGGUUGGGUGCAAAUAUCUCCAUUUGACUCUUUCAGCUGUUUGUUUGGCCUUUUGGGGAGCAGUUAUAAUAGGCUCCUGUUUGUAAGGACAACAUGGUAUCAGUAAUAGAGCCACCAACCAGGCAGCAUACACCAACUGAUAUGAGGACCCCAACAAAUAUACAGAAGAAGACUGCUGGGUCUUUACUCAAUGAGAAAAGAAGCACCUAACCCUCAAGAGACCUGAGGCCCCAGGGAGUGAGGAGGUCUGUGGGUGGGGGGAGGGGACAUCCUCUUGGAGACAAGGGCCAGGGAUUGGGGGUGGAGGUAUGGAAUGUGGAAC